GACGAACGCUGGCGGCGUGCUUAACACAUGCAAGUCGAACGGAAAGGCCCCUUUGGGGGUACUCGAGUGGCGCACGGGUGAGUAACACGUGAGUAACCUGCCCUUGACUUCGGGAUAACUUCAGGAAAUUGGGGCUAAUACCGGAUAGGAAUCCUUGCUGCAUGGUGGGGGUUGGAAAGCUUCGGCGGUUUUGGAUGGACUCGCGGCUUAUCAGCUUGUUGGUGGGGUAGUGGCUUACCAAGGCUUUGACGGGUAGCCGGCCUGAGAGGGCGACCGGCCACAUUGGGACUGAGAUACGGCCCAGACUCCUACGGGAGGCAGCAGUGGGGAAUAUUGCACAAUGGGCGGAAGCCUGAUGCAGCAACGCCGCGUGCGGGAUGACGGCCUUCGGGUUGUAAACCGCUUUCAGCAGGGGCGAAGCUUGUGGUGACGGUACCUGCAGAAGAAGCACCGGCUAACUACGUG
rnacentral:rRNA from 1 species